rnacentral:rRNA from 1 species
GAUGAACGCUGGCGGCGUGCUUAACACAUGCAAGUCGAACGGUGAACGAGGGAGCUUGCUCCCUCCGGAUCAGUGGCGAACGGGUGAGUAACACGUGAGCAAUCUGCCCUGGACUCUGGGAUAAGCGUUGGAAACGACGUCUAAUACCGGAUACGAGGCGUGGGGGCAUCCCCAACGCCUGGAAAGAACUUCGGUCCAGGAUGAGCUCGCGGCCUAUCAGCUUGUUGGUGAGGUAACGGCUCACCAAGGCGACGACGGGUAGCCGGCCUGAGAGGGUGACCGGCCACACUGGGACUGAGACACGGCCCAGACUCCUACGGGAGGCAGCAGUGGGGAAUAUUGCACAAUGGGCGCAAGCCUGAUGCAGCAACGCCGCGUGAGGGACGACGGCCCUCGGGUUGUAAACCUCUUUUAGCAGGGAAGAAGCGAAAGUGACGGUACCCGCAGAAAAAGCACCGGCUAACUACGUGUCAGCAGCCGCAGUAACAC